rnacentral:rRNA from 1 species
AAUCUGUGUGACUGCGUACCUUUUGUAUAAUGGGUCAGCGACUUAUAUUCUGUAGCAAGGUUAACCGAAUAGGGGAGCCGAAGGGAAACCGAGUCUUAACUGGGCGUUAAGUUGCAGGGUAUAGACCCGAAACCCGGUGAUCUAGCCAUGGGCAGGUUGAAGGUUGGGUAACACUAACUGGAGGACCGAACCGACUAAUGUUGAAAAAUUAGCGGAUGACUUGUGGCUGGGGGUGAAAGGCCAAUCAAACCGGGAGAUAGCUGGUUCUCCCCGAAAGCUAUUUAGGUAGCGCCUCGUGAAUUCAUCUCCGGGGGUAGAGCACUGUUUCGGCAAGGGGGUCAUCCCGACUUACCAACCCGAUGCAAACUGCGAAUACCGGAGAAUGUUAUCACGGGAGACACACGGCGGGUGCUAACGUCCGUCGUGAAGAGGGAAACAACCCAGACCGCCAGCUAAGGUCCCAAAGUCAUGGUUAAGUGG